AUAACAGAACUUUCCCUGUCAUGUUUUGUGCUUUGACCUCUCGAUGCUUUCACCUCCUCUGCCAAAUACUUUGUUUCUGCAUCAAGAGAGAGGAGCAAAACCACUGUGGGGGGAAAACAGCAGUUAAGGCUCUUCAGUGAACAAGACUGCAGGCUUAGUCCCAAACGUGGCCUCAAGAGGGCUCCCAGCUUCCUUCCAGCAUCCUUGGAUGAGACAGAGACAGCAACCUGGCACAGAGAGAGGAUGAUCACAGCUGUAUGGCUGCUCAAGAAGCAUUGUUUUUCAAUGUGAAAGGUCAAGUGCUGAACUGCUAAACUCUUCUCUAUUCCUAGGCACCUGUGCCUAUGAGAGAUGCAGGUACCUUUGCAGAUCUUGGCCCACAUCAUUGGAGCAAAUGUCACUGAGCACACAGGAAGGAUUAUCUGUCUGGAUAGUGAAGAAUCAACUGCACAGUUCUGUGAAAACAUAAAUUUGUUGGGAAUUAAUUAGGAAUUGAAAGUGCGGGGGAAAGACCCAGUAAGAGAGGACCACUGAAAGCACAUUGGAUGCAUUGGGUAUGGCCUAUUCCCACUGUGAGUGACACUGCUUCUUGCUUUUGAGAAAGAGAAAAGGAAGAGUAAAAGCAAGAGAAACUUCUGAGUCAAGAAAGAAAUGUUUGGACAAAGAGAGAAAGAAAACAAAACAAGCCCUGAAACUGCUGACAGCAAAGAUGACAAAGGUACUGACAGAAAAGUUAUUUUUUUCCCUCUUCAUUUUGAGGUUAUGGAUCGAUGUCCAUUUCUGUAGCAGCCUCAAAAUCAUAGAUCAUGUAGCGCGUGACUUCCAAAUCAACAAGAGACAUUUACAGGUUAGAAAAUGUGUUCGUUUCCCCCUUUGGCAAUUCAACAGGGAUUCUAGCCAUCUGAUUCAGAGGAGCACAUAUGGUAAAUACUUAAUGGAAUAUAAAUCUUGAGAGCAUACCUUGAAAUUAAAUGAGAUUUUCAAUAGGGCUCAGGUUCCCAUUUUACAAAAUUCCUUUUGAGAAUUAUAUAUAUUGUAACCCUCUGACAGUUAUUUAUGAUCUUAGGCAUGCAUAUACUCAAACAUUUAACCUAUCCCAUCUGUGUUAAAUCUAGUUUUACAUCUGAAUACCAAUGUUAACUGCUCACUGACCUACAGAAAUAAUUGCCUUUAUUCUUCCUAGAUUUUAUUACUUGACCUUAAGACAGACAUCAGGAUGUGUAUGAAGGUGUCUUUUUAUUAUUUCUGCAACACUGUUAUAUAGUCUAAAAAUAUUUUAGAAGACACAGUGCCAUAUUUAUAUUCUCAUUAAUACUGCUUGGCCACAAGGGAUGAAUUCUGGAAAAUAAUUUUUAUGGGUUUACUUUUCCUAUAUGAUACAUCUCAGAUUUUGUAUUUCCUUGAUAUAUUCUAUAACCACAUUUGUCUCUAGGGUGCCUGAAAGUUUUAGAGACGUAAGCCUGCAAAAUGCUCUUUGCUUUUAGAAGCUGGAAUUACUUCAGUCAGUGGAGGUGCUCAAACUGAAAUGGUUAAAAAAUAGAUUCCAAACAAGCGGAUGCUAGCAGAGUGAAGAUGGUUUGCCUUUCUUAUAUUGGAAAUGUGCGAAACAGGAGGAAAACAUCAUUCAGUUGUAAUCUCUUUUAGCCAGCACACCUUCUGAGAGCUGUCAGAUCGUGGGAGGGCACAAAGUCUGACCUUCCAGGCAGCCACUCGCUCCUCAGAUGUCUGCACUGGAUGCAGUAAUUGCUGCUCCCCAUGCUGGUUGCUGCUGUCAUUUUGUGGAAAGUUACUGCCCCCACAAUUUUGCAGCAGAGUGUUAAUGUGAAGUCUUCCCAAUAACAUUCAGGCAGAAACAGCUACGUUGGCUAAAUAGUUUGUUCUGUUUUUUUAUUUUUUUCUUUCCCUUUCCUAUACGUUUUAAAAAUUCUACCAGAUACGUGUGCUUCCUUGAUAGACACCUAUACUGGAAAAUGUCGGGUUCUCAAUUACCCUUUUUUUCAGGCUUAGCAUUGUGAAAGAUUGAGGAAUCUUUAGAAAAUACAAAGCCACCCUAUUACACUUAAUGAGUGUGUACUUGAAACUGACACCUUGUAGGCCAUCAGACAGGUGUAACAAUACAUGCAGUAUGUGCAUAGCUGGGGAUAACGUAAGAUAUAUUUAAAGGAAAACAUCAAUGUUUUAAACAUCUUUUGAAGGUUACUUUCCUAACAGACUGAGAGAAAAAUAAAAGAUAUGUUACCAG
rnacentral:lncRNA from 7 species